rnacentral:rRNA from 1 species
AUUGAACGCUGGCGGCAGGCUUAACACAUGCAAGUCGAGCGGGGUGAUGGUGCUUGCACUAUCACUUAGCGGCGGACGGGUGAGUAAUGCUUAGGAAUCUGCCUAUUAGUGGGGGACAACAUCUCGAAAGGGAUGCUAAUACCGCAUACGUCCUACGGGAGAAAGCAGGGGAUCACUUGUGACCUUGCGCUAAUAGAUGAGCCUACGUCGGAUUAGCUAGGUGGUGGGGUAAAGGCCUACCAAGGCGACGAUCUGUAGCGGGUCUGAGAGGAUGAUCCGCCACACUGGGACUGAGACACGGCCCAGACUCCUACGGGAGGCAGCAGUGGGGAAUAUUGGACAAUGGGGGGAACCCUGAUCCAGCCAUGCCGCGUGUGUGAAGAAGGCCUUAUGGUUGUAAAGCACUUUAAGCGAGGAGGAGGCUCUUUUGGUUAAUACCCAAGAUGAGUGGACGUUACUCGCAGAAUAAGCACCGGCUAACUUUGUGCCAGCCGCCGCGGUAA